rnacentral:rRNA from 1 species
UGGGGGAUAUUGCACAACGGGCGAAAGCCUGAUGCAGCGACGCCGCGUGGGGGAUGAAGGCUUUCGGGUUGUAAACCUCUUUCGCUAUCGAACAAGGCCCGCUUAGGGUGGGUUGAGGGUAGGUGGAGAAGAAGCGCCGGCUAACUACGUGCCAGCAGCCGCGGUAAUACGUAGGGCGCGAGCGUUGUCCGGAAUUAUUGGGCGUAAAGGGCUUGUAGGCGGCUUGUUGCGCCUGCUGUGAAAACGCGGGGCUUAACUUCGCGCGUGCAGUGGGUACGGGCAGGCUUGAGUGUGGUAGGGGUGACUGGAAUUCCAGGUGUAGCGGUGGAAUGCGCAGAUAUCUGGAGGAACACCGAUGGCGAAGGCAGGUCACUGGGCCAUUACUGACGCUGAGGAGCGAAAGCAUGGGUAGCGAACAGG